rnacentral:lncRNA from 1 species
UCCGGUUCUCUUCCACCUUAUUUCCUUCCUUUAUUAUCGCAGCUGAGCUUCAGCACUCUGUCCUUCGGGCUGUGGGCAGACUCUCAUUCGACAAGCCUUCCCACAUCGUAAAGACUUGUCUCUGCAAGGGCUUCACUGGACAGGACCCUGUCCCCAAUGGACGCUGCCUUUUUCCUCCCUCUGAAGGGGGAUGGGUUUCAAUCCCCUCCACACCCAACCUCCAGAGCCCAGGUUGGUGCGUUUGACAGACGGAAGGCGAGAGGA